GUGUGGUGUACGCUUCUGUGCUCGUCAAGUGCCGUCAGAGCGCGGGGAUGUUUGAACGGAAUGUGUCCCUUCGUCUACAAAACUCUGCACGCUGCGGCAUCGAAGUCCUGUGUACGGGUGCACGUAUGCGCUUGGAUACGGGAUAGCCUGCCCUCAACGGAUGUUCAACAGUGUACGCACGCUGCGCGUACGCGUACGUAUGAGACUAGUUGCUGGUGUCCUGCUGGAGCUGAGAAGAGAUCUGCUGCCUGCCAUGAGACCAUGUCUCUCAAGUUACCGCAAUAUUGUUGCCUUCAAAGGGAGACGGCUCUCACAACUGGAGAAGCCUGGGAAGCAUGCAGUACUCCACAAAACCAGUUUCAACGUAAAAUGUGUCUGCAUCUCAUAAUUUCAUGGCUGCAAGAGUGAGCCCAAUGGUAAACACAUCUGAGUGUUCAUGAUGUCAUGCAUUAUCCACUUUAUCUGCAC